CAGUAAUUAUGAGAAGUCCUAAAUGUAGAGAGAUUAAGCUGCCUGAGAUUGUCCGGCUAAUAAGAAGUACACCCUGGAUGUGAAUGGAGUUCCUUUAACUUCUAAAUCCAGAUUCUAAUAUUACUCCCAACCCAUGUUUUCUUCUCUUGUCCUUGGAUAUCUGUGAUGAAGAAAUGGAACUGGGGAGAUGCUGGAGAAAGGAUACAGACUUGCAAUUAGAAGAUGAGUAUCUUCUGGAGCUCUGCAGACAGCAUGGCGAUUACAGAUCCAAGAACAUCCAGACUGGAAACUAGAUGGCUUGGAUUGCUUUCUGGAAGGAAGAGAACUUGUAAGGAAGAGAAAUAUCCUGUACACCAUAUAUAAAAGAAGCUCUCUGCACAGGAACUGUCUGGGAGUUUUGUCUUUAUCAAAAAAUGUUCUUCAGCCCCAAGCCUUUACCAUCUAUCUUUCAAAAACUCUUCAAGGAUUUGGUUUUAUUUCCAGCCAAGUCAGAUCACAGGAAUUCCCACUCAUAUUUAUUUCUCUCUCUGUAAGUUCUUCAUGUUCUAUGUGUAAUCUGUCCCCGUGGAUGUUGUAAUGCAGCAACUUUUUUCACGUGAACCAGAAAUUAACCUUUAGUACUUUGGCUCCAGCAGAGAGAUGCUAUUAGUCUUGGUAGCCAUCUGCCUCUCUUGCCCCAUAUUAAAUGUAUUAUCUCCUCA
rnacentral:lncRNA from 1 species